GGAAAAUGCUUUUUGGCGUAAAGAAUUAUUAUCACACUAUGGUAGAAAGAAUAAAAAUCAUUUUUUGGAUUUUAUAAAUUCCUCAUCAGGAAAAGAAUCAGAAAUUAGAAUUGAUUCUUCAGAUGAAUGUAUAAACAUUCUGUUAUCACCUCCACAAAGUCUUGUGAAUCAGUGCCUUCUUCAAGAAGAUUUCCAGAAAGCUAGUGAUGUAAUUGAAAGAUACCAUAUACAAGACAGCUUUGAAGCCAAACG